GAUGAACGCUGGCGGCGUGCCUAAUACAUGCAAGUCGAGCGAACGGACGAGAAGCUUGCUUCUCUGAUGUUAGCGGCGGACGGGUGAGUAACACGUGGAUAGCCUACCUAUAAGACUGGGACAACUUCGGGAAACCGUAGCUAAUACCGGAUAAUAUUUUGAACCGCAUGGUUCAAAAGUGAAAGACGGUCUUGCUGUCACUUAUAGAUGGAUCCGCGCUGCAUUAGCUAGUUGGUAAGGUAACGGCUUACCAAGGCAACGAUGCAUAGCCGACCUGAGAGGGUGAUCGGCCACACUGGAACUGAGACACGGUCCAGACUCCUACGGGAGGCAGCAGUAGGGAAUCUUCCGCAAUGGGCGAAAGCCUGACGGAGCAACGCCGCGUGAGUGAUGAAGGUCUUCGGAUCGUAAAACUCUGUUAUUAGGGAAGAACAUAUGUGUAAGUAACUGUGCACAUCUUGACGGUACCUAAUCAGAAAGCCACGGCUAACUACGUG
rnacentral:rRNA from 1 species